GUGUUGAGUAGAAGCGGUUAGGGAAAGAUCCCGGGACAUUGCUCAAUAA
rnacentral:ncRNA from 1 species